UACGAAGGGGGCUAGCGUUGUUCGGAUUUACUGGGCGUAAAGCGCACGUAGGCGGAUUGUUAAGUCAGGGGUGAAAUCCUGGAGCUCAACUCCAGAACUGCCUUUGAUACUGAAGAUCUUGAGUUCGGGAGAGGUGAGUGGAACUGCGAGUGUAGAGGUGAAAUUCGUAGAUAUUCGCAAGAACACCAGUGGCGAAGGCGGCUCACUGGCCCGAUACUGACGCUGAGGCACGAAAGCGUGGGGAGCAAACAGGG
rnacentral:rRNA from 1 species